rnacentral:rRNA from 1 species
AACGAACGCUGGCGGCAGGCUUAACACAUGCAAGUCGAGCGCCCCGCAAGGGGAGCGGCCGACGGGUGCGUAACGCGUGGGAACGUACCUUUUGGUUCGGAACAACUCCGGGAAACUGGAGCUAAUACCGGAUAAGCCCUAACGGGGAAAGAUUUAUCGCCGAAAGAUCGGCCCGCGUCUGAUUAGCUAGUUGGUGAGGUAACGGCUCACCAAGGCGACGAUCAGUAGCUGGUCUGAGAGGAUGAUCAGCCACACUGGGACUGAGACACGGCCCAGACUCCUACGGGAGGCAGCAGUGAGGAAUAUUGGACAAUGGGCGCAAGCCUGAUCCAGCCAUGCCGCGUGAGUGAUGAAGGCCUUAGGGUUGUAAAGCUCUUUUGUCCGGGAAGAUAAUGACUGUACCGGAAGAAUAAGCCCCGGCUAACUUCGUG